UAAUACGAAGGGGGCUAGCGUUGUUCGGAAUUACUGGGCGUAAAGCGCAUGUAGGCGGGUCUUUAAGUCAGGGGUGAAAUGCCAAGGCUCAACCUUGGAACUGCCUUUGAUACUGGAGAUCUUGAGUCCGGGAGAGGUGAGUGGAACUGCGAGUGUAGAGGUGAAAUUCGUAGAUAUUCGCAAGAACACCAGUGGCGAAGGCGGCUCACUGGCCCGGUACUGACGCUGAGAUGCGAAAGCGUGGGGAGCAAACAGGAUUAGAUACCCUGGUAGUCCACGCUGUAAACGAUGGAUGCUAGCCGUUAGGCAGCUUGCUGCUUAGUGGCGCAGUUAACACUUUAAGCAUCCCGCCUGGGGAGUACGGUCGCAAGAUUA
rnacentral:rRNA from 1 species